rnacentral:rRNA from 1 species
CACGUAGGGCGCAAGCGUUGUCCGGAAUUAUUGGGCGUAAAGAGCUCGUAGGUGGUUUGUUACGUCUGCUGUGAAAACCUAGGGCUUAACCCUGGGCUUGCAGUGGAUACGGGCAGACUAGAGGUAGGUAGGGGAGAAUGGAAUUCCCGGUGUAGCGGUGAAAUGCGUAGAUAUCUGGAGGAACACCGGUGGCGAAGGCGGCAUCCUGGACCGGCAUUGACGCUGAGGCGCGAAAGCCAGGGGAGCAAACGGG